CGGGGGGCUAGUUGUAACAGGGGUAAGUAGUAACAAGCAUUUUUUACCUACAUAAUAGAAGAAUAUUAAUUUAAUUUUCAAUCCAAUGUACUACUUAAUACGCAAUGUAUCAUUUAAGCGUGGUAAGCAUCCCGCCGGACGGCGCAGGAAGCGGUGCUGUGCAGGCGCUCCGAAAAAGCCAGAAUGAUACACUACUAAAGAAAAUCUACACGUGCUACCCAAAGUCAAGAUGUUUACUAAUUGGCCUCUGCUGAAGUCUUAGACAAUAAAAUCAGUGUACGAAAAGCCGCAAAAACUUUUAAUUUAUGUCUUGCAUUUUUAUAUAGAUAUGUGAAAAUGAAGAAAAGUAACAAUUCUUUAUCAGUCGGCUAUAUCAAACCCAGAUUGGUUUUUCAAGAGGAAGAAGAAGCUAAAAUAUCUUAGUACUUGCCUACUUGCUUUAACAUUUACUUUGGAUUGCUUGAUUACUUGAACAUUUAAAACCUGUUAAGUGUCUGAAGUAUUUUUAUGUCAAAUAAAUCUUAAAAAAAUGUAAAA